rfam:Xenopus tropicalis strain Nigerian Chr06_contig_55, whole genome shotgun sequence.
ACAAAGGCUCUUUUCAGAGCCCCUACACCGGCUAAAGAGGGCUGCAU